rnacentral:rRNA from 1 species
AUUGAACGCUGGCGGAAUGCUUUACACAUGCAAGUCGAACGAUGAACCUUAGCUUGCUAAGGGGAUUAGUGGCGAACGGGUGAGUAAUGUAUCGGAACGUAUCCAAUAAUGGGGGAUAACUAGUCGAAAGAUUAGCUAAUACCGCAUACGUCCUACGGGAGAAAGCUAGGGACCUUCGGGCCUGGCGUUAAUGGAGCGGCCGAUAUCUGAUUAGCUAGUUGGUGGGGUAAAGGCUCACCAAGGCGACGAUCAGUAGCUGGUCUGAGAGGACGACCAGCCACACUGGAACUGAGACACGGUCCAGACUCCUACGGGAGGCAGCAGUGGGGAAUUUUGGACAAUGGGCGAAAGCCUGAUCCAGCCAUUCCGCGUGAGUGAAGAAGGCCUUCGGGUUGUAAAGCUCUUUCGCAAGAGAAGAAAACUUAAGCUCUAACAUAGCUUGAGGUUGACGGUACCUUGAUAAGAAGCACCGGCUAACUACGUGCCAGCCGCCGCUGUAAAAC